CAUAGGUUAAUGAGGCGAACCGGGGGAACUGAAACAUCUAAGUACCCCGAGGAAAAGAAAUCAACCGAGAUUCCCCCAGUAGCGGCGAGCGAACGGGGAGGAGCCCAGAGCCUGAAUCAGUGUGUGUGUUAGUGGAAGCGUCUGGAAAGGCGCGCGAUACAGGGUGACAGCCCCGUACACAAAAAUGCACAUGCUGUGAGCUCGAUGAGUAGGGCGGGACACGUGGUAUCCUGUCUGAAUAUGGGGGGACCAUCCUCCAAGGCUAAAUACUCCUGACUGACCGAUAGUGAACCAGUACCGUGAGGGAAAGGCGAAAAGAACCCCGGCGAGGGGAGUGAAAAAGAACCUGAAACCGUGUACGUACAAGCAGUGGGAGCACGCUUAGGCGUGUGACUGCGUACCUUUUGUAUAAUGGGUCAGCGACUUAUAUUCUGUAGCAAGGUUAACCGAAUAGGGGAGCCGAAGGGAAACCGAGUCUUAACUGGGCGUUAAGUUGCAGGGUAUAGACCCGAAACCCGGUGAUCUAGCCAUGGGCAGGUUGAAGGUUGGGUAACACUAACUGGAGGACCGAACCGACUAAUGUUGAAAAAUUAGCGGAUGACUUGUGGCUGGGGGUGAAAGGCCAAUCAAACCGGGAGAUAGCUGGUUCUCCCCGAAAGCUAUUUAGGUAGCGCCUCGUGAAUUCAUCUCCGGGGGUAGAGCACUGUUUCGGCAAGGGGGUCAUCCCGACUUACCAACCCGAUGCAAACUGCGAAUACCGGAGAAUGUUAUCACGGGAGACACACGGCGGGUGCUAACGUCCGUCGUGAAGAGGGAAACAACCCAGACCGCCAGCUAAGGUCCCAAAGUCAUGGUUAAGUGGGAAACGAUGUGGGAAGGCCCAGACAGCCAGGAUGUUGGCUUAGAAGCAGCCAUCAUUUAAAGAAAGCGUAAUAGCUCACUGGUCGAGUCGGCCUGCGCGGAAGAUGUAACGGGGCUAAACCAUGCACCGAAGCUGCGGCAGCGACGCUUAUGCGUUGUUGGGUAGGGGAGCGUUCUGUAAGCCUGUGAAGGUGUGCUGUGAGGCAUGCUGGAGGUAUCAGAAGUGCGAAUGCUGACAUAAGUAACGAUAAAGCGGGUGAAAAGCCCGCUCGCCGGAAGACCAAGGGUUCCUGUCCAACGUUAAUCGGGGCAGGGUGAGUCGACCCCUAAGGCGAGGCCGAAAGGCGUAGUCGAUGGGAAACAGGUUAAUAUUCCUGUACUUGGUGUUACUGCGAAGGGGGGACGGAGAAGGCUAUGUUGGCCGGGCGACGGUUGUCCCGGUUUAAGCGUGUAGGCUGGUUUUCCAGGCAAAUCCGGAAAAUCAAGGCUGAGGCGUGAUGACGAGGCACUACGGUGCUGAAGCAACAAAUGCCCUGCUUCCAGGAAAAGCCUCUAAGCAUCAGGUAACAUCAAAUCGUACCCCAAACCGACACAGGUGGUCAGGUAGAGAAUACCAAGGCGCUUGAGAGAACUCGGGUGAAGGAACUAGGCAAAAUGGUGCCGUAACUUCGGGAGAAGGCACGCUGAUAUGUAGGUGAAGCGACUUGCUCGUGGAGCUGAAAUCAGUCGAAGAUACCAGCUGGCUGCAACUGUUUAUUAAAAACACAGCACUGUGCAAACACGAAAGUGGACGUAUACGGUGUGACGCCUGCCCGGUGCCGGAAGGUUAAUUGAUGGGGUCAGCGCAAGCGAAGCUCUUGAUCGAAGCCCCGGUAAACGGCGGCCGUAACUAUAACGGUCCUAAGGUAGCGAAAUUCCUUGUCGGGUAAGUUCCGACCUGCACGAAUGGCGUAAUGAUGGCCAGGCUGUCUCCACCCGAGACUCAGUGAAAUUGAACUCGCUGUGAAGAUGCAGUGUACCCGCGGCAAGACGGAAAGACCCCGUGAACCUUUACUAUAGCUUGACACUGAACAUUGAGCCUUGAUGUGUAGGAUAGGUGGGAGGCUUAGAAGUGUGGACGCCAGUCUGCAUGGAGCCGACCUUGAAAUACCACCCUUUAAUGUUUGAUGUUCUAACGUUGACCCGUAAUCCGGGUUGCGGACAGUGUCUGGUGGGUAGUUUGACUGGGGCGGUCUCCUCCUAAAGAGUAACGGAGGAGCACGAAGGUUGGCUAAUCCUGGUCGGACAUCAGGAGGUUAGUGCAAUGGCAUAAGCCAGCUUGACUGCGAGCGUGACGGCGCGAGCAGGUGCGAAAGCAGGUCAUAGUGAUCCGGUGGUUCUGAAUGGAAGGGCCAUCGCUCAACGGAUAAAAGGUACUCCGGGGAUAACAGGCUGAUACCGCCCAAGAGUUCAUAUCGACGGCGGUGUUUGGCACCUCGAUGUCGGCUCAUCACAUCCUGGGGCUGAAGUAGGUCCCAAGGGUAUGGCUGUUCGCCAUUUAAAGUGGUACGCGAGCUGGGUUUAGAACGUCGUGAGACAGUUCGGUCCCUAUCUGCCGUGGGCGCUGGAGAACUGAGGGGGGCUGCUCCUAGUACGAGAGGACCGGAGUGGACGCAUCACUGGUGUUCGGGUUGUCAUGCCAAUGGCACUGCCCGGUAGCUAAAUGCGGAAGAGAUAAGUGCUGAAAGCAUCUAAGCACGAAACUUGCCCCGAGAUGAGUUCUCCCUGACUCCUUGAGAGUCCUGAAGGAACGUUGAAGACGACGACGUUGAUAGGCCGGGUGUGUAAGCGCAGCGAUGCGUUGAGCUAACCGGUACUAAUGAACCGUGAGGCUUAACCUUACAACGCCGAAGCUGUU
rnacentral:rRNA from 1 species